rnacentral:lncRNA from 1 species
CAAUCUUUUGAUGGAACAAAUACUAGGGAUUGGAGAGAGAACACAUAGUAAUUUUUUAAAGUUAGAAGGACCCUGUUGAUCAUUUUGCUUGGUUGUUGCUUCUUUCUAUGAUGACAAGGUUUUGUUCUUGCAGAGUCAUGAUUUCAAGAUUAAAAGUUGGCAGCAGAUUUGCAAGAUGUGGGUUAUAGAUUUGAUGAAGAUAUUUUUAUGGUGGGGUUUAGGGUUUAGUUUGUACCCUGAUGCAAGCAAAGGUUUGGUUUUGAAUUUCUGCAAAAUCUCGCACUACUUCGAUUUCCUUUUCCAGUUGGUAUUUGGAAUCUUUGGAAUGUAUGCGUUUAGUUAUUUGAUGCUUUUUAAGUUUUUAGGUUCUUAGAGCGGACUUUGCUUUUGCCUGUUAGGUUUAGAGGGUACUGUUAGACGUUGGAUUAUGUAUUUAUUGUAUAAGGGUUGAUCCACCUCUGAAAGAGUGGCUCGCAUUUAUAUUUUUGUUAUUGCUGAUAAAAAAAAAAAAUGGUGGCAGAGGUUGCAAAAUUGAAACAGGAAAUUCUUUAAUUGAAUACUUGGAAAAUCUUGACAAUCUUUUGGUUGAAGUAAGAGUUUCAGAUGAUAUAUAACCUUCAGUUUCUUUCUUUCAGGUUUCAAUGUGGAAUUGGAGAAAUAUGUUCGUUUGCAUCACCAUCCAUGAUUCAAGAAUCAGUGUGCUUAACAAGAUGGCAUGGGAAAUUCCAAUUUAGAAUUCCAAUUGAGAUAUUCUGGAAUGUGAUCUAAUCAGAUUUUGAAUAAUGGUUAAUUUUACUCACACUUUAAAAGCUGUACUUUGAUUUGUACUAAAAUUAUUUAUAAAUCUACUAUUUUAACUAUAA